AGGGAAUAUUGGGCAAUGGGCGGAAGCCUGACCCAGCCAUGCCGCGUGAAGGACGAAGGUGCUCAGCAUUGUAAACUUCUUUUCUCCGAGAAUAAGGGCUUUGUAACUCAAGGCAUUGAAGGUAUCGGAGGAAUAAGCACCGGCAAACUACGUGCCAGCAGCCGCGGUAAUACGUAGGGUGCAAGCGUUGUCCGGAUUUACUGGGUUUAAAGGGUGCGUAGGCGGUUUGAUCAGUCGGUGAUGAAAUGCAGGAGCUCAACUCCUCGCGCUGUUACCGACACUGUCAGACUUGAGGAUGAGCGAGGUAGCUGGAAUGAGUGGUGUAGCGGUGAAAUGCGUAGAGAUCACUCAGAACACCAAUUGCGAAGGCAGGUUACUGGCUCAUAUCUGACGCUGAGGCACGAAGGCGUGGGGAUCAAAC
rnacentral:rRNA from 1 species